GCACUUCUCGAGUAUUAACAACACCUCAUUCAUACAGGGCAAUUUAUAUGUAUUACGCUUCAACAAGUUGGGGACGAGUUGAGAAUCAUAAAUUGGAAAAAAAUUAUUGAAAAUAAAAUAUUAUGGUAAACUCAUGGUCAAAGAAAUAUUUGAAUAGUUAUUAUAAGUUUUCGCCAAAACCCAGCGGAAUUUGCUGCAACAAGUAAAGCAAGUUCUAUCUUCAAAAGCAGCAACAACAACUUAUAAUAUUAUGUUACUGAAUAAGGAAACUAAAUAUAUAGUCAAGUGUGUUUAAAUGAAAAGAAUAUUUGCAAAUAAAACAUUAUGACAACUGCUCAUAAAAUCUGUCUACACAUUAUUAGUGUCGUAGAUUGUUCGUAAAAACCCAGCAGAGCUCAAUAUGAAGAGUUAGUAGCAAAACUAAAAAAGCAUGUGUAUUCUAAGAAAGACAUUUUUCAAGCUCAAUUCAUUAGAAGAACCCAAGAUAACACAAUCCGCGAACAGCUCAUUCUGGCAGAAUAUUUAAGAAAAUUGUUUGGAAAAAAUACUAUCUUUAGAAGCAUUCAACAUAUGUACAUAGAAAGCCGUGAACUCAAUGCAAAAUUACAAAGUACUAUAAAUGAUGUCAACAAAGUACUCGCAGGUAUAAAUCGUAGUAGAAGGCCGCGGAUACAUUCAAUAAUAAUCAAAAUUAAACUUGAGGCAAAUAGGUAUCGGAAACUUAUGCAUACGAAGCGGAAGAGAGAAUCACAAAACAAAGGAAUGUCACGUAAAGCGGCAUGACCUCAUAUAAAAUUCGCGCCACGCUGCUGGGUAUGUUUGGAACCAAUAAUGCCAGAAACCGGUGAAGAAGAAACUGUACGUGUCGUAGCGUUAGAUCGCAGUUAUCACUUCGGAUGUUAUAAAUGUGAAGACUGUGGUUUGUUGUUAUCGUCAGAAGCCGAGGGUCGUGGAUGCUAUCCUCUGGACGGACAUGUACUCUGUAAAAGUUGUAAUGCAAAACGUGUGCAAAUGCUAACAAGUCGCAUGGCAACAGAGUUAUAAACAAACUUAUUACUGUGACAUAUUAUGAAUAUUAUGUAUAAUUUCUACACUCGUAUGUAAAAUUAAAAUAAAUGAAAGUUCGUUUGGUUUGCUGACUUUUUAA